rnacentral:misc_RNA from 1 species
AAGACUAUAGACCUGCGGAGUACCUGCGGAGGGAUCAUCAAUAGUUCCACUAUAAUACCUUCUUGUGAACUGUUUUUAUGGUACGGAUGUUCAUAUGGUGCUGCUGUUGCUUUAGUGACAACAGCGCCAUGUGGAUGUCUAUAUGUCAUCAUUACAAACUCUGUUAAAUAUAUAUAAAGUCUAAGCAGUUAAGCAUGUUGUCGUAUAUCGUAUUGAACCGUUAGUUUUAACGGUGAUUUA